GCUAUACCCAGUUCAUGGGGAGAUGGAGAGCUGCUAACUUUGUAGCUCGUAUUGUUGCUAAAUCCAGAUCAAUUCAAGACACCCCUCAAAACCCAUUUCUAAAAAUCCGCAAAUUUUCAUCUGUUUCAGUACCCAAACCGAUUCAAUUCUUGAAUUUCAGGUCUUUUUCUGCUUCCCCAGCUACAUAUCCACAAUAUGUGGAUGAUUUUGAGUAUAAACCUUAUAAGAUUGAUAAUACACAAUCUUUGGAGUCCGAAGAUGAUGAUGGAAUCGGGAAAAUUCCUGUCAAAGCCUACUUCCUUUGCACGAGUAUUGAUUUGAAGCGCAUGCAAGCUGAAAUUCCAAGAGACGUUCUUCCGUCAUCCUCCCGUUCACCCAAUCAUAUUGCCCUCAGAUUUUUCAAUCUUAUACCAACAAAUACUCUCCUUAGAUUUGGAGGAAACACAAAUGGUUGCAGUUAUAUGGUUGUAUUCCAGUAUGGUUCAGUUGUCCUGUUCAAUGUGGAGGAUCAUGAAGCUGAGUACUACUUGCAAAUUGUGAGAAGAUUUGCAUCU
rnacentral:misc_RNA from 1 species